rnacentral:rRNA from 1 species
CCCCUAGAUGUUCUGGGCCGCACGCGCGCUACACUGAACAGUUCAACAAGUCUUAACCUUGGCCGAUAGGUCUGGGUAAUCUUUGAACGCUGUUCGUGAUUGGGAUAGACCUUUGCAAUUAUGGGUCUUCAACGAGGAAUUCCUAGUAAACGCAAGUCAUCAGCUUGCAUUGAUUACGUCCCUGCCCUUUGUACACACCGCCCGUCGCACCUACCGAUUGAAUGGUCCGGUGAAAUCUCGGGACGGCGGCUCGGUCGCUUGCGUCCGACUGCUGAAACUUGAUUAAACCAUACCAUUUAGAGGAAGGUGAAGUCGUAACA